GUUGAAGAACGUAGCGAAAUGCGAUACGUAAUGUGAAUUGCAAAUUCAGUGAAUCAUCGAGUCUUUGAACGCACAUUGCGCCCCCUGGUAUUCCGGGGGGCAUGCCUGUCCGAGCGUCAUUGCUGCCCUCAAGCACGGCUUGUGUGUUGGGCCCCGUCCUCCGAUCCCGGGGGACGGGCCCGAAAGGCAGCGGCGGCACCGCGUCCGGUCCUCGAGCGUAUGGGGCUUUGUCACCCGCUCUGUAGGCCCGGCCGGCGCUUGCCGAUCAACCCAAAUUUUUUAUCCAGGUUGACCUCGGAUCAGGUAGGGAUACCCGCUGAACUUAAGCAUAUCAAUAAGCGGAGGA
rnacentral:misc_RNA from 1 species